rnacentral:rRNA from 1 species
CGGGAUUCCCYGAGUAGGGGCGACUGAAAAGGGACCUAGCCCAGCGCAUAACCUCGCGGUUCUUACUGAGCCGUCGAGGGGUGUUGCGUAUCGGUGGAUCCGUCCCGCCCGCGCCGUACCGCCUAAGUUACCGUUUGAGUGCAGCUCCAAGGAGGGUGGAAGACCCGUGUGGCGGCGCCCCUUGUGGGCUUAUACGGCGCGAGCGGAGGGAUGCUAACACCGGAGAGUCGGGUUGCUUAAUACUGCAGCCCUAAGAGAGGUGGUAAACUCCAUCUAAGGCUAAAUACAUCCACGAGUCCGAUAGCUGACAAGUACCGUGAGGGAAAGUUGAAAAGAACUUUGAAGAGAGAGUUCAUAAGAAUGUGAAGCCGUUAGAAGCUUAAACGGGUGGAACUGCGAAGGACGAGGGAGGGCAUUCAAGCCACUGGCUCUGCGGGAGGGGGGACAUAUGCUUUUUCCGUACCAGAUGGGGGUGCGGCAUUGGCGCCCCUCCUCUUGCCGACAGUGGGUGUACUUGUUUCCUCCUAAGUGAACGCAGCGAGCCGUUGGCGGGAGCCAGGAGGGCGUAUAAAAGUCAUUCCCGGACUGGUAGCCAUUGUUGGGGGGCGAAACCGGGAUGCGCUGCUCGAUGACUGGCUCUUUGUGACGCGACGGCCCGUACUGAGGGAGGUGGCCGUUUAGCGGCUGUGGGUGCUGUUGCUGUUCUUUGCCGUUGCCUCGGUGGCGGUGGAGGGCGGUGGUGGUGCUCUCGGCGGCGGCGGCGGCCUCUCGCUGUGAAGUAGCGGUGAUCCACCCGACCCGUCUUGAAACACGGACCAAGGAGUCUAACCUGUGCGCGAGUCUAAGGGUCUGAUAGGAAGACCUGGAGGCGCAAUGAAAGUGAGUGGGGUGAAAAAGAAUUUUUUCUUUUUGCUAAGAGCUGGCCGAUCCCCGGGGGUAAGAUCCCGGGGCGCAGGCCGAGGACUCGCCGCACGGCGGCCGCGCGCUCUGGCCUGGCUUUCCUCCGAGUUGGCGCUCCGCAAGGGGCGUUGGCGAGGGGGGGGCUAGGUUGGUGGCGUGCGGUCCGCCGGCGAGUACCUUGAGAGCGCACACGUUGGGACCCGAAAGAUGGUGAACUAUGCCUGGCCAGGACGAAGCCAGAGGAAACUCUGGUGGAGGUCCGAACCAGUUCUGACGUGCAAAUCGAUUGUCAGAGCUGGGUAUAGGGGCGAAAGACUAAUCGAACCA